GAACGCCGUGUGCGUUGAAAGGCGCACGCACGGUGUGAGGUGGGGGAAAAGGAGCCUGGACGGGUAAUGCCGUCGGAGUAUCCUUACCUAUCACUAU
rnacentral:ncRNA from 1 species